rnacentral:rRNA from 1 species
GACGAACGCUGGCGGCGUGCUUAACACAUGCAAGUCGACCGGUGAAGCUCCAGCUUGCUGGAGUGGAUCAGUGGCGAACGGGUGAGUAACACGUGAGCAACCUGCCCCAGACUCUGGAAUAAGCGCUGGAAACGGCGUCUAAUACUGGAUACGAGAUCAAGCCGCAUGGUUAUGGUCUGGAAAGUUUUUCGGUUUGGGAUGGGCUCGCGGCCUAUCAGCUUGUUGGUGAGGUAAUGGCUCACCAAGGCGACGACGGGUAGCCGGCCUGAGAGGGCGACCGGCCACACUGGGACUGAGACACGGCCCAGACUCCUACGGGAGGCAGCAGUGGGGAAUAUUGCACAAUGGGCGAAAGCCUGAUGCAGCGACGCCGCGUGAGGGAUGACGGCCUUCGGGUUGUAAACCUCUUUCAGCAGGGAAGAAGCGAAAGUGACGGUACCUGCAGAAGAAGCACCGGCUAACUACGUG